rnacentral:lncRNA from 1 species
ACGGGGCUGAGAGGAGGAGAAGGGCAGUGCCCAGGGAUGGUCCGCAGCCCACAGGGCCUUCUCCUGUCCUCUGGGGUAGAAGCCUGAGACAGAGCUGUUUGUGUUUCAGGAGCACAGGGUUAGCCGGGGCAGAAACAGCACAAACUGGGGUCAGGCAGAGCUCCCAGGCACUGUCCCCAAAGAGCUGCACACAGGACACUGGGUCACUUCCAUCCUGUCAUGGCUUUAUUCUGCCGUGUCACCUCAGGGCACCUCCCAGCUGGAGCAAGCUGAGCCCACUGAGGCACAGCCCACAGGACCAGCUCCAGCCCCAGCUGAAGUCCCAUGUGCAGACCCCAAGCCAGCUCCACCUGCAGCUUCCUGCCCAGUGCUGGGACCACAGCCAGAGUCCGUGGCAGCCCCUUCACCUGCUGCAGUGCUGGGGCACCCGGUGGUUGCACAGCGGUCGGUGUCACCUCCUGAGCUCCACCUGGGGCCAGCUCCUGGCCUCCUCCCACUGUUCCCCUCACUUACGCUGGCUCUUGUUUUGGUAUUUACAAGUGUCCUUAUUUCUUGAAUUUAUAUAAAUAAUAGAACUAGCUUUUAAUAAAACUUAAAAUUUCAGUGU